GCCGCCCGGGGCCAUGGCGACACUCAGCUUCGUCUUCCUGCUGCUGGGGGCAGUGUCCUGGCCUCCGGCUUCUGCCUCCGGCCAGGAGUUCUGGCCCGGACAGUCGGCGGCCGAUAUUCUGUCGGGGGCGGCUUCCCGCAGACGGUAUCUUCUGUAUGACGUCAACCCCCCGGAAGGCUUCAACCUGCGCAGGGAUGUCUAUAUCCGAAUCGCCUCUCUCCUGAAGACUCUGCUGAAGACGGAGGAGUGGGUGCUUGUCCUGCCUCCAUGGGGCCGCCUCUAUCACUGGCAGAGUCCUGACAUCCACCAGGUCCGGAUUCCCUGGUCUGAGUUUUUUGAUCUUCCAAGUCUCAAUAAAAACAUCCCCGUCAUCGAGUAUGAGCAGUUCAUCGCAGGUCCGUGAUGUUAGACAGAGCCGAGAACCUACUUCACGACCACUAUGGAGGGAAAGAAUACUGGGAUACCCGUCGCAGCAUGGUGUUUGCCAGGCACCUGCGGGAGGUGGGAGACGAGUUCAGGAGCAGACACCUCAACUCCACGGACGACGCAGACGGGAUCCCCUUCCAGGAGGACUGGACGAAGAUGAAGGUCAAGCUGGGCUCCGCGCUAGGGGGCCCCUACCUGGGAGUCCACCUGAGAAGAAAAGAUUUCAUCUGGGGUCACAGACAGGAUGUACCCAGUCUGGAAGGGGCCGUGAGGAAGAUCCGCAGCCUCAUGAAGACCCACCGGCUGGACAAGGUGUUUGUGGCCACAGAUG
rnacentral:sRNA from 1 species